AAAGAUACUCAAAAGAAGUAACUGCCCUUGGAAACUGACCUAUGAGCACCACAGAAGAUGAAGGAGAAGAGGGACAUCAAGCAGAGAAAUGAGGAGGGUUCCUGAUCUGACCUGAAGACAGGCAUGUGCCCUGGAACAAGCAUUUUUCUAUCUUUCCUCAGUCCCAGAGGCAGGUUCUGGGACAGACUUCAGCCUCCCAAGAGGAUGUUACUGCCAAGCAAGAAGGAAACCCCGUAAAGGAGAUAUCCUGACUCUAGGGAAAGGUGGCAGCUUGGACAUGGACCUCCUCUGAAUUCACCCUCUAUCUUUGGGCUGCACA